rnacentral:lncRNA from 1 species
CACUAAUGCAGAUGAUCAGAAUGAUGCUGCAAAUGAUGAAAGAAACCUUCCCGGUCCGCAGGCUCCUCCACCUCCCAGGCCUGGUUUUCCAUCUGUUAGGCCACUACCUCCACCUCCUGGGCUUGCGCUGAAUAUUCCUAGGCCUCCUAAUACAGUCCAGUAUUCCACCUCCACCAGUGCUGGGGUUGCUGCUCCACCUCGACCUCCUAUGGUUAACAUGAUUCCUCAGGUUCGGCCCCCACCUCCUCCCAUGCCACAGAUGCUAGGUCAGCAAAAUCUGAUGGUAAAUCGUCCACCAAUGCCUCCAUCAGUGGCCAUGAAUUCACAUGGCCAUCCUAUUCCACCACCUCCUGGAUCACAGUUUACACCUUUGGGAGCACCUCGACCCUUUGUUCCCCUCCCGAUGUCCCAGCCCGGAAUGUCUAUGGUUCCGCCUCCUCCUAUUCCCCAAGGAAUGCCUCCUCCUCCUCCACCAGAAGAAGCCCCUCCUCUACCUGAAGAGCCAGAGCCGAAGAGGCAAAAGCUUGAUGAGUCUGUUCUCAUUCCUGAAGAGCAGUUUUUGGCUCAGCACUCGGUAGGGAUAUCUUUCUUUCUUAUUUGCCCCCCCCCCCACCACCCACACACACACCCCACCCCACAAUUUUUUACAUAAUUGUCUGGGUCUCUUUUAGAACUUUGUUUAAUGCCUCAUGCUUACUUACAUCCUUGCAAAUUGUGUUUCCUGCUGGGUUUUAUUGCAGGGUCCUGCAAGGAUCAAUGUAUCUGUGCCGAAUACUGACGAAGGGAAUCUCAAAGGACAAGUUCUGGAAAUCACAGUGCAAUCUCUGUCUGAAACCAUUGCCAGUCUAAAAGAGAAGAUUUCCGGGGAGGUCCAGCUUCCUGCAAACAAACAAAAGCUGAGUGGAAAGGCUGGUUUUCUCAAGGACAACUUGUCUCUUGCAUACUAUAAUGUUGCAUCUGGAGAAACUCUCAGUCUCUCUCUGAGAGAACGUGGUGGCAGAAAGAGAUGAAUGGGGAGUUAUUUGGCAUGGCCUUCAAAGGUUUAUUUUGGAACUGUUCGGCAUAUCUAAUCCUUGUUAUGAAUUUAAAGAAUUCUCCAUACUUCUUUCAUGUUAUUUUGGAGAUUAUAUUGGUCUUGUACUUCUAGUUUUUCUUUCUGCAAUUUAAUCAACUUUCUCCUUCAAGCUGAUGGUUGUGGGUAUCUACUACAGAUUUUGGCAUGUUGGCGAUCAUCCAUGAGGACAACAGGAAGUUUAUUAGUUCUAUGUUUAUAUAAGUGCAAUGACUGUGUUGUGUUUAUGUUACUAAUUUGUGUUUGUCUAAACAUGUGCAGUUGCUUCACCCUAACUAGAGCUCAGUUGUUAUUUUGUUGUAUCUUCUAAGUCCAAGGCCAUUCUGGAUUAGAAUUAUCUAAUGUAUUCUUGGCAGAUAUUCCUUAUAAUUUUAGAGGCUUCACAUAGCAAUUUAAUAUCUCUGAUUCUUAUCUGGACUUUAUGACUUAUUUCUGUAGAAGAUGUGCUUGUCGUGGUGGGAGAUACUUGUCGCAAGCACAGCUGCCUCUUUUGUGGUGCGUUUUUUGGGGCACUUGAGCCCCCUUCAUUGUUUUGGUUUGUUUUGAUGGAGUCUGCUGUAUGGAGAAAGUGACUAUGGUUUCUCUGAUGUGUUUAUUUUGUCAACACAGCUUUACCCCUGUUAAGGUCUGUGAUAUAUGCUGUAUUUGUCGGUUGUUUUAUGACCUCGAUAGUGAAAGCAG